AAUCUCCGAUAGCUGAUAAAUCUCCAUAACUGCCGGAAGAACUCACCGAACGCACCGGCGACGGCGAGGGAGAGAAAUCACUCGACGGAGAAGAAGAUAAAGGAACAACUUGAUUCUCAUCGUCAUAAUCAUCGAUUUCACUGAAUUGCAGAGAGAGAAAGUAGGAGAAAGCUUUGGACCAGAGGCAUUCCAUGGAGUUGAAUUUUGACAUGAAUGACAAAGGAGAUUUCUCGAGUGUUUAGCUACGAGAAAAUUAGCAGAAUGAACUUUCGAAUCGCAAUCCCAGCAAAGUAAUUGAAGGGAGAUAAGAGAUGGAGUAGGUGAAAUUCAUUCAGUUUGAGAGAUAAUCAACAAGAUAUAAGAUGUGAUUCCGACUUUAUGAAUCACUUUCAGUAAUUAGAGGUGGAUCGGGGAUUAAGCAGGUCAUGGUCAUUCUAUUUGAGGGAUAAUCAACAAGAUACAAGAUGUGAUUUUGAUCUUAAGAAUCAUUUUCGGUAAUGAAAAACAGAUCAAGAGUUGAGCAAGUUAGUUCGUUCAGUUUGAAGAAUAAAUUAUAUGAUUGAUUUGUCAAUUUUAGCAUUUCCAUUUCAAUCAUUGCUCGCUCGUGACUUGAUUUCAGAUCGUGAAUAUGCUAUUAGCUAGCAAUUUUGUGUUGAUUAUUGAAAUUAAUGAGGGUAUGAAUUAAAAAAUUUGAA